rnacentral:rRNA from 1 species
UACGGAGGGGGCUAGCGUUGUUCGGAAUUACUGGGCGUAAAGGGCGCGUAGGCGGCCUGCUAAGUCGAACGUGAAAUCCCCGGGCUCAACCCGGGAACUGCGUCCGAUACUGGCAGGCUUGAAUCCGGGAGAGGGAUGUGGAAUUCCAGGUGUAGCGGUGAAAUGCGUAGAUAUCUGGAGGAACACCGGUGGCGAAGGCGGCAUCCUGGACCGGCAUUGACGCUGAGGCGCGAAAGCCAGGGGAGCAAACGGG